UACGUAGGGUGCAAGCGUUGUCCGGAAUUAUUGGGCGUAAAGAGCUCGUAGGCGGUUUGUCGCGUCUGCUGUGAAAACCCGAGGCUCAACCUCGGGCCUGCAGUGGGUACGGGCAGACUAGAGUGCGGUAGGGGAGAUUGGAAUUCCUGGUGUAGCGGUGGAAUGCGCAGAUAUCAGGAGGAACACCGAUGGCGAAGGCGGUCUGCUGGGGUAAUGCUGACACUGAUGCGCGACAGCGUGGGGAGCAAACAGG
rnacentral:rRNA from 1 species